rnacentral:rRNA from 1 species
CCGGAUUUAUUGGGUUUAAAGGGUGCGUAGGCGGCCUUGUAAGUCAGCGGUGAAAUUUUGCAGCUUAACUGUGAAAGUGCCGUUGAUACUGUGAGGCUAGGAUUUGGUUGCUGUGGGUGGAAUGUGUGGUGUAGCGGUGAAAUGCUUAGAGAUCACACAGAAUAUCGAUUGCGAAGGCAGCUCACAAAGCCAAGAUUGACGCUGAGGCACGAAAGUGUGGGGAUCAAACAGGAUUAGAUACCCUGGUAGUCCACACUGUAAACGAUGAUAACUCGCUGUCGGCGAUAUACAGUCGGUGGCCAAGCGAAAGCGAUAAGUUAUCCACCUGGGGAGUACGACCGCAAGGUUGAAACUCAAAGGAAUUGACGGGGGCCCGCACAAGCGGAGGAACAUGUGGUUUAAUUCGAUGAUACGCGAGGAACCUUACCCGGGCUCGAACGGUGCAGGAAUAUGGUAGAGAUAUCAUAGCUAGCAAUAGUCUGUAUCGAGGUGCUGCAUGGUUGUCGUCAGCUCGUGCCGUGAGGUGUCGGCUUAAGUGCCAUAACGAGCGCAACCCUUGUCAUUAGUUACCAUCAGGUCAAGCUGGGGACUCUAAUGAGACUGCCACCGUAAGGUGAGAGGAAGGGGGGGAUGACGUCAAAUCAGCACGGCCCUUAUGUCCGGGGCGACACACGUGUUACAAUGGGGGGUACAGAGGGCAGCCAUCCGGCGACGGAGCGCCAAUCUCAAAAACCCUUCUCAGUUCGGAUUGGAGUCUGCAACCCGACUCCAUGAAGUUGGAUUCGCUAGUAAUCGCGCAUCAG